rnacentral:rRNA from 1 species
GAUGAACGCUAGCGGCAGGCCUAAUACAUGCAAGUCGAACGGUAAGUAUUUUAGCAAUAGAAUACGAGAGUGACGUACGGGUGCGUAACACGUAUGCAACCUACCCUUUACAGGAGGAUAGCUCGGGGAAACUCGAAUUAACCCUCCAUGAGAUCACAGUGUGGCAUCACACAGUGAUUAAAACUCCGGUGGUAAAGGAUGGGCAUGCGUCUGAUUAGUUAGUUGGCGGGGUAACGGCCCACCAAGACGAUGAUCAGUAGGGGAACUGAGAGGUUGAUCCCCCANACUGGCACUGAGAUACGGGCCAGACUCCUACGGGAGGCAGCAGUAGGGAAUAUUGGUCAAUGGAUGGAAGUCUGAACCAGCCAUGCCGCGUGCAGGAAGAAGGCCUUCUGGGUUGUAAACUGCUUUUGCCAGGGGAUAAAAAGCCAUGCGUGGUUAAUUGAAGGUACCUGGUGAAUAAGCCACGGCUAACUACGUGCCAGCAGCCGCGGUAAUAC